UGAUCUUUGUUCUUAAAAACAGCCAGUGAGGAGUUUGUGAGCUGUGCUGUAACAAGAAGUCUCCAGGAGCCCUCAGUGCAGGGGUUCUGCACCCAGCAUCACCUCAUCUGCUGCCACUCAGAAAGGGAAUUUGAGACAAACCAUGUUUGAAAUCCAGAAAAAAAUUGUUCCCGAUGCCGUGAGUUACAUCAUGUGUACAAGGACUGGGAAUGUGAAAUUUGGCCCAAAGUUGUGUCUGUCACUUAAAUGUACUGAAAUAAAGUCUGGUGUGUUCUCUGCCUUCCUGGGAUGCCAGAAUGGGAUUCUCUCUGGACCAAAACUGAACGGCAAAAAGAAUCCAGGUUUUCCUUUCCCUGCACUGAUAAGAUUCUCUCCUGCAGAGACAACAACCACACAAUAGCCCAGCAAAGGAUGGCUGGGUGGGAAUAAGACACCACAGCGAUGGUCAGAUCCAAGUCCAGGACCCUGAACUCCAGGCAAGCAGGUUUUAUUUCACAUAGUGGCACCUAAAAUUCAUCUGGCACAUCCCAUUGCAUUCUGACUUCCUGUGCAGGGCUGGGGGGCAUUUGCAGAUCCAGAACAUCCUCUCAGCUGGCCAGGCAGUGAUGGUUUCUGUCAGCUGCAGCCCAGAGCAGUGCUGUUUACCAACACUGCACACACACAGGCUCAUUGGGUAUCUACUCCAUUUGUGCACAGGAAUAACACCCACAUUUCUUUAGCUUUGUCUCCUACAACAAAGAGAACAAAAUGUGUUUCUGGUUAUGUGAUAGAUACGGAGUCAAGGGAAGCCCAGCAUUCCCAGACUGUAACCAAUGGAAAUUCUGAAAGGCUCUCUUGCCCUUUGCAACCUCAACAAGUUGAAAUCUCUUGUGUAUUUUGUAUUAGCUUGUCUUGUACAGUAAUUAACUUAUAUAUGACUCCUAGGGGACAAGUGAUUAUGGUUUAUUUCCAGAUGACUCAUGAGCAAGUCUGCAGAAAGAGAGUUUGUGCUGUUCAGAAAACAGGAAAAUGGAAUAUUUACUGUUGCUGAUGAUACCAGUUCUGGCUGCUGAGCUCAGGCACCAGGCAGAGGGGCUGGAAGCUUGUCAGCUUGAGUGCAAGGGACUGUUGAAACCCUGCAAAUGCUCAAGCUCUGCUCCCAGAGCAUUCAAUUAGGACUAGGAAUUACAGCAAAGAUCCAGGCAGUGCUCCUGCGCUGUGUGAAUAAUAUAUAUGUGUGUGUGUAGCAAGAAUAAAAAUCAUUCAA
rnacentral:lncRNA from 1 species